GGAAUCUGGGACGGCUUUUGCCGGCAGCCGCGCGGAGCCGCCGGUCAUCGCAGCGCCCCUGUAAUUUGACACGCCGCUCCGGAGAGUCGCCGCCGCCGCCGCCGCCGCCGCCGCCGCACUCGGGCUCCCGCGGCCGCUUCUCGGGAGGAGGGAGGGAGGGAGGGACGGACGGAGAGGGGGGGGGGCGCGCGCUGGCUCUUCAUCCCUCCUCCUCCUCUUCCUCCUCCUCCUCCUCCUCCUGCGAGCAGCGCCUUUUGUGAACCCCGAAGCCGCGACGGCGCGUCGCCCCUUGCGACAGGCCGCCCGGACCGGCACCUGCAGACCCGCGGCUGCCCGGCCAGGAGGCGGAGGAGGAGGCGGAGGAGAGAGCCGCGGCGGCGGCGACCUGCCCGGGGCCGGAGAUCGAGCCUCGCUCGCCGCGUGCGCGCAGCCAGGCGGGCGUCUGUGGAGCGGGGGACACCCGGCUCGCUGCCGCCGCCGCCGCCGCUUCCUUCCCCGCGGAUCCGGGCUCCCUCCUCGGCCGGCCGGCCGGUCCUCCAGCCGCGCUCGCCCGCCCGCCCCAGCCGGAGGAGAGGCCUUUCAGGUUGUGGAUGUGAACGGCUCUCCCAGUUCUCUUCCUCCUUCUUCCCCACACAUCGAGAGCUCUCGUAAGCUAAUCACCAUUGGCCUCUUCGGAGAGUUUAAAGAAAGAGCCUAAGAAAUUGACUGCAAAAGAUCUGUUGGCUACCAAGCUGUACGUCUUGCCAGCAUUAUCGAGUGUGGGAAUCAAAUCAGACCAGUAAUUCUCCUUCCUAAAUGCUGAAUGAGCUAAAGGACAACACAUUUUGUUAUGUGAAGCUACAAAGGGCCUAGUCACCAACUCCUGUGGGGUAGGAGAGCGUGGAACACAUAG